rnacentral:rRNA from 1 species
GACGAACCGUGCGAACGUUGUUCGGAUUCACUGGGCUUAAAGGGCGCGUAGGCGGGCAGUCAAGUCGGGGGUGAAAUCCCACAGCUCAACUGUGGAAGUGCCCCCGAUACUGGGUGCCUGGAGGGAGGUAGGGGUGUGUGGAACUUCCGGUGGAGCGGUGAAAUGCGUAGAUAUCUGGAGGAACACCGGUGGCGAAGGCGGCAUCCUGGACCAAUACUGACGCUGAGGAGCGAAAGCCAGGGGAGCAAACGGG